rnacentral:rRNA from 1 species
CCUACGGUGGGCAGCAGUGAGGAAUAUUGGUCAAUGGACGAGAGUCUGAACCAGCCAUGUAGCGUGCAGGAUGACUGCCCUAUGGGUUGUAAACUUCUUUUAUAAAGGGAUAAACCGAGGCACGCGUGUCUUUUUGCAUGUACUUUAUGAAUAAGGAUCGGCUAACUCCGUGCCAGCAGCCGCGGUAAUACGGAGGAUCCGAGCGUUAUCCGGAUUUAUUGGGUUUAAAGGGUGCGUAGAUGGGUUGUUAAGUUAGUUGUGAAAGUUUGCGGCUCAACCGUAAAAUUGCAAUUGAUACUGGCAGGCUUGAGUAUAGUUGAGGUAGGCGGAAUGUGUGGUGUAGCGGUGAAAUGCUUAGAGAUCACGAAGAACCCCGAUUGCGAAGGCAGCUUACUAAGCUGUGACUGACAUUGAUGCUCGAAAGUGUGGGGAUCAAACAGGAUUAGAUACCCCUGUAGUC